ensembl:lncRNA
CUGGAGUUACUUGAGAAGCCAGGGAGGAAAGAGAAAACAAUAGCUUGGAUAAAAAACACCCCAGUCAUAAUUGGAUGAGCAGGCUUAGAGGCGUGGGGAGAGUGUCCUGAGCUCCGGUCCGUGUGAAGGCGGGACAGAUGUGGGGGAAUGAAACCAUGUGAGUACAAACCCCGCAGCAAGGGAGGGAGCAGUGGAAGGCUGCUGGGCUGCAGCAGUGAGAUGCUGGCAGCCUGGGGAGGUUGUGAUGGAGACGGAGGAGUCGGCUGUGAGCAAUGCUGGCUGCUCCCGUGGCUUCCAAGGAUGAGUGAAUAGGAUUUGCCAGGUCUGGGAACAGAGUGGAGGCAUUUAGCAAAGGAACGACACCAAAGCCUAAAUUUAGUGCCCUGUGUUUGUGAGCAAUCUGCAAUUAGCAAACAAUGAAGCUGAGCAUGUGAUGGCUGCAGAGAAAGGAGCUGUGCUAGGUAGGUGGUAUUUUUUUCUCUUAAGUAAACAACUUAUAGGAAAAUACAGCCAGGCUGCACGUUUCUGGCUGCUCCUUUCCUGCUGUGCACAUGUCUGUUGAUGCUGGGAUAUCGAUGUGGGCUGCCUCUGAAGUGCUUCCCAGGUUUCAGCAAGCUGCUUCCACACGGCAAGCACUGAGCAUUGACAGUCUUUUAAAGUAUUCCCAGUCUCUUUAACAUGAUGGUUGUAAAACCCAUUAUCCCUACUGAACUAAUUGUGUUUAUGUGCUGCACCAGGUUUCCUCCCUUGCCCUGCUUCCCACAGGAUGGAUGGAUGCCCCACCGUCUCUCUCUCUUCCCAUUCCUCUGCCCUUUUCUGAGGAUGUGAUCGGUGCUGAGUUCAGGUUUUGUUAUUAGAGGUGGUUGCUGUGGUGCACUCGCUUGGGAAGGGCUGGAAGCAUUUAGCUCUGAGGAAGGAGAUCUACUGCCAUCUGCACCUGGGGAGAGAAAGAGCUCCUUGUCUGGAGGGAGGACAUCCCUCUGCCUGCAGCAUGAGGCUCAGCUCUGCGCUGGGUAGGAGUGGUGCAGCGAUUUCAUCAUUGGGCAAAGUGGCUUUAAUAACAGGCUUCAUUUGGAACGUGUACAGCUGGAUCUAAGUAUGACACAGAAUGGCCAUGCACACGCAGAAAGACAUUUUUCUGUAGUUUAGGCAUCAAGAUCGCUGGGCUAUUUAUGCAGUACCCGUGUGAACAGAUACUGAAAGGCAGCACAGCUCAGACUCAGCGCAGAGCAGGAUGAAACUUUAGGAAAUGUUACACCAGAUACAAUCAGCCCUUUGUCAAGCCCAAGGUGCAGGGCGGCUAAAAGAAGAAAAAGAAAGAAAGGAAACCUGGAAUGCUGCUUCCUUAUUGCAGGGCAGACACCCUGCAUUAAGUUCAGGGCUUCCCCAAGAGCAAAGUCCAGGACUGGGAGGGAUUCGAUAGCUGCUGGCACUGUGAGCUAGCAGUGCUGCCACACUGACUCACCUCAUCUGUUCAGUUAGCUAAGCAUUCAGCUAAUUGAUUUUUCUAGAGAUGAAUGCUCUUGGGAUGCAGCCAGCUGCUGCUCUGGAUCCACGCACGGGUGACACGCAGCUGUUGGGAUGGCUCUGGUAGUCCCACUUGCCUUACUUGUGUCCUGAGCACACUAUGCUCCCCUUCCAAAUGCCUGCCUGCUAUGCUGGGGCUAUGUCAUUGAUCAGCACAGAUCUGUGGGGCCAGGCAAAAGCUGGGGCUGCCUUGUUAGCAUGUCCAUCCUCAUAACAUGCUGAUGCAGGGGCUGCCAUGUGCCUGUAUGGAUGGCCUCAUUUCUGCUAGGUAUCGUGGGCAUGAGCGUGCUCAAGCUGCAUGGAUGGGUCCCUCACUCUGCAUUACUCUCUCAAGCACAUUAACACUGAGGGCACUUAAUUCCCCUCCCUGUUUAUUUUUUGUGAGUCAUUCCAUAAGUGAGGACCCAAGGGAAAUGCCCAGCUGGGGGGCUGCAGGGUGGCUUCAGCCCUACUCGUCUGCAGGAGAGGCUUGCCAGAAUCAGUACAGGUAGACCUGAUGGCGGUCUGUGGAUCAUAGAAUCAUAGAAUGGCCUGGGUUGAAAAGGACCACAAUGAUCACUGAGUUUCAACCCCCCUGCUAUGUGCAGGGUCGCCAACCACCAGACCAGGCUGCCCAGAGUCACAUCCAGCCUGGCCUUGAAUGCCUCCAGGGAUGGGGCAUCCACAACCUCCUUGGGCAACCUGUUCCAGUGUGGCACCACCCUCUGGGUGAAAAACUUCCUCAUAUCCAACUUAAACCUCCCCUGUCUCAGUUUAAAACCAUUCCCCCUUGUCCUGUCACUAUCCACCCUCAUAAACAGCCAUUCCCAUUCCAGUUGCUAUGCUCCCUUCAAGACAAGCGGAUGCCACCAGCAGUGCAGUUGUUGGGUUCCUUGGACAAAUACAAACAGGUGUGAGGGAUCUUGAUGCCUCAGGUGCCAUCUGUCCAUGUGUCUUUGUGAGGAGGCUUUGCAUGCCAGCAGGGAGGAGACAAACCCGUGCUGAGCUCCCGUGUCUCCUCUUCCUAUGGCUGGCAGUGGUGCCCACCACGUGAAGAAUCCCAUAGGAUCCUUCCAUCCAUGCUCAGAUGCCUUGAGUGAGGCAGGCAGGUGGGUGGGUAAGCCAGGCCCUCCUUCCCGACCUCUUCCCCUCUGCUCCUUCCUGUUGCUCAGAGCACGCUGCUGAGUCAGAGCCACUAAUUUGGCCAGCGAGCAGGAAAUUCUCAGCUUUGAGGGUGAGCUCAGGGUGUUGUUCCUGCUAAGCACAAGCAAUUUAUUUUGCUUUGCUGGCGAUUUCAGCCGUGAGGCUGGGCAUUGCGCCGGGCCUCCUCCCUGCACUGCUCACUAUCUGCUCGCUGCUGUCACAGCACUGAUAGCACCUUGCAGAUACCAUCACACCGGUGUCACCGAUUAAGUAUUGCAGCACCGUGAGGAAGUGGGAGUCGGAUUAUUAAGAACAAGUCAUGAGACUUUUCCAUGCCUGUUUUCACAAUAACUAAUCAUAAAUGCUCCAUCCCAUCCUCAGGACUCUGAAUUUUAAUUACAUUUUGAAUUAUUGAGAAAUGCUGAGUGUGACACAAGGGGAAACGUAAAGGGGAAAAAAAAGCAGCAUUCCUUCAUCCAGCGACAUUACAGUGUUUAACAGGAUGUUCCUUUCAAAUCCAUUUUGUUGUAGAGGUUUUAUUAGCAAAGAAGGUCUAUUGAGACUUUAUCUUAAGGGAUGUAAGCGUUGCUCUUAAUUGCUUUUGCUCUGAGGGUUACACAGAGAUACUUUCAUGGGGCUGCAAAUGACAUUUCCCCUAUAAUGUGGAGGACGCCUUGUCGUCGUCUAAAUGAAAAGCACAGUUCUGUUGCCUGUCUUCAUAAACGGUCCUUUCAGAAGGAGAGCUUGCAUAGUCAAGCCCACAGAUGGGAGAGCAAAACUGGAUUCUCUGAGAGCCUCUCUAGGAGAGCAGCGCUGGGACUUUCCCAGUUUUCAGCACAGCAGGCUGCAUUCGCCGUGCCUGUUUUGGCCAACAGUGCAUUAUUUCAGUAUACCACGGUUUUGUCCAAUACACAUUAACCUCCCUGCUCCAUGUGGGAGCAAACCCAAAGCCCCUAACAAUCCACAGUGCCCACGUGUUAGUUUAUAUUCAUAAUAAAUAGCUGACGUUUUUCUCCCAAAGUAUUCCAAUGAAUAUUUCUGCUUUCAGCACCUGAAAUCAGGAGAUGUCAAUCUUACUGCUUAUGAACACCUAAAGAAGCAGCUGUGAAACUUGCUGUUUGAUCACAAAAACAUUCAGGGUUGGGAUUCCAGACCUCCUGUGUGCAAAAAACCACCUGAUGCCUCCCCAGCUCCUCCCUCUGCUCACUGAGCCACGUGCUCUGGGGUGGAGGAGAUAUGGAAAGCACCCUUGGGGGUGGAGGGACAUGGAGGUGUCCAGGCAGGAAGGAGCUUGGCAUUGCUGGGGAGCAGGCAGUGCAGCUUGGGGUUGCUUGCUGGGGCCAGUCGUGGAUGUCAGGACAUGCGACUGCAGCCCAUUGAGCUGUCGGCCACCUACAUGUUUCCAUAGAGGUUUGGAGCAGGGAUUCAUUUAGGGUGAAGAAUUUUUGUGCAUGGGAAAAGAAGAAGAAAAGAAAAAAAGAAAAGCUUAACUAAUAGGCAGUGUAAUUAAAUAGUGGGUAAUUGACAUUUUCAUUUCCUGUACUCUGCCCUAGGAGGAUAAUGACAGGUUAGGCCAUAUCAAAGUGUUUCUGAAUACCCCUAGUGACACGACAAGAGACAUUACCUACAGAAAUGUCUGCAAAGUGCUGGGGCCGGAGGCAAGGUUAGGCACUGUGUGCUUGAGGCCUUGUUCUGCUGAGGCACAGCAUGAGCACAUUUUGGCAGCAGGUGGUUUCCGUGCCAUCCUUUUUUGCAUAUCCCUGCAGAAACACCAGGCAGCCCCUGCUCCUCUCCAUUACGAGAACAACCCCAUUCACAGAAUGUCUCUUUCUGUGAAGA